AUUCAGCUGACGAGUCUCAAAUAGGACGAAACGCGCGUCCUGGAU
rfam:Schistosoma curassoni strain Dakar, Senegal genome assembly, scaffold: SCTD_contig0016819